UAGGCAGCAAUAUUAGUAGAAGUGU
rnacentral:piRNA from 1 species